UUUCCUUCCUCCCUCCACUCUCCCCAUAUGGAAUUUCUUCUCCAAAUUACACCACUCAGAAAUGCAGGAUGGACAGUAUUCUGUUCUGGACCAAUAAGAGCCUGAAGGUUCAAUAUCUUCUUGCAUGUCAUCAGGAUGAGAGAGACAACACGGGUGAAAUAAUAUCUUUUAUUGGACUGACUUCUGUUUGUGAAAAAGGAAAAGUUUAAGCCAUGGGACUGAAAUCUUCCAAGUAGCUGUUUGGAAUAUCCAGGAAAAUGCCUGGAAAGACAUUAACAGACUUUACAUCUAAGCUGCAUUUGGAGUCUGACCUUUUAGGAUGAUUCCAGAGAGACUUUUGCAAGCCAGCAGACUCAUCCAUCGCUGCAACAAAUCUGAUGAACUGUUAGAUGACAUUUCUGAAGAUAUAAGAGAGCAAAAGCAAGAAGAUAUAAAUAUUAAAGAUACAUAAGAUAUAAGAUAGCAAACGCAAGAUUAAAACAGAAUAAGAUUAAAAGAGGAAUAAGGAAGUCAAAUGUCUGACAAGUGUAAGAGUUUUGAGUGAAAGGCUUGGAAUCUGCUUCCUUCUCCACACCAUUCCAGCAGUCUCCUUCCUGCUGCUUCUGUCUCACAGCCUGCUUCAGAGGCAGGUAUGCAGAGGAGGGACGGGAACCCAGAGAGGGACAAAGGACUCCCGCCUUAUGCAAAAGAUAUAUAAGUGGGUGGAACGGAACAAAAGAGGCUGCAAUCAUGAGCUACCACCUGAGCUGGAACAAGGACUGUACCAGGGGAAAGGAUUGUGCCCAGAGUAGGAAGGUGUCCAGUCUGUGAUAGAAGCUUAUUGAAACAUCUCUGAAGCAUCUGGCACCAGCCACUUCAGAAGACAAGAUGCAGGACUAGAUGGACCCCUGACCUGACCCAGAAUGGCCAUUCUUAUGUUCUUUAUGCUCAAAGAGCUCUCAUCUGCUUGGCACAAAAGAUCAACUGAACAUGAGUUGAACUCUAUGCAGAAUACUCUAAGCCAGAUCACAUGGCACUAAUUUCCCUGCCAUCCUGACUUAGUUUGGCCCUAUCACAUAAACUGAAGGCUGAAACUGAGGAAUAUUUAAGGCACUAAUUUUGAAACAGAUCCAUGAUCCUUUAACUGGCUGAAAGCCAAUGAUGAAGGUCUAAUUCAGAGAAAUGAACCUGCUAUCCUCACUGAAGAGUGUAAUAGUCCAGGCAAUCCUCAGAAAUCCAACAUGUAGUGCAAAAAAUCUCUCCAGCUACUGCCUUGUCUCCAGUUUCCCAUCCAAAGGCAAAGCCAUUGAGAAAAUAGCGGACAAAUCAGCUCUAACAACAUGUGCCAACAUGUGACAUCUGCCAACAUCUUGCAUCUCCAAAGUCCCAAAAGGAUAUACCCUGUUUUCCCUUUUGCUUAUAUUUAUGUGAUACAACCUGAAGCAGUUGUGAGAUGUCAUGGUCUUCAAUGUCAACAAUUUGUUUAUGAUAUCCAAGUGUAUCCUGGAUGAGACUAGAACAAAAUUAAGUGGAUAGCACAAGACAUUUAGUGAUAUAAUAGUUAUAAUCUAUUAAAAUUAAAAUAAUCUAGGUUUAUGUUUUUUAAUUAUUAGCUGUCACUAAUAAAUCCUACUUCACUACUUAUGCAUUUAUUUUAAAGAAUAUCUAUCUUGGUUGUGUUCACAUUUUGUUAUGAACAAUACACAAGAUUGAUAUAUCAAAAAGUACCAUUGAAAAUUAUUACAUGCAGGAGAAAAAAAUCUAGGCUCAUGAUGGGCCAAAAACAGUCAUCUGAUGUGUAAUCAUGUUUUUAUCCUUCACUUCUUCCCAAGGAACUGAACAAUAUAGGCAAAUGAGUUUAUCCUGAUUACCUGUCUCUGCACUCCUUGAAAACUACUAUUUAAUUCUGAUGAGCCAAUCAGAUAGCUUAUACACAUUUUUGCUUCUUGACAGACUCACUAGAGGUGAAUAUCAGCUUUUUCUGGAUCUUCAUCUUCAUCUCUUUAGAAUGUUAAUUUAAAGGGAGAAUUGAUGGAAACUGAAUACGUUAAAUGACUUUAGAUGAAGAGAUUUCCAAAUAGCUUAGAUAAAAGCAUUCUGAAUUUAUACAUAUACCGAUGUCACACUUGUUAUUGUGCCUAUUGUCUCAUCACCUUGGUCAGUCUUUUUACCCUUUGAAUCAAUAAAUCUUGAUAUUUACUUCAACAGCAAUCAAUAAGUGUUUUGACGAGCUUGUAAUUAAUGAGAUAAAGCUGCUGUACAAUUAGAUGGACACCAUGAAAUAAGUAUGGAGCACCAUUUACUAAAUCAGUGUUUUUUCAGAUACGUGAUUAUAUGAUUAAAUUAUAUGAUUUGUGACUAGUCACAUCUUUUAUAUGCAGAAGCAUGUCAGAAUGUGAACAGGCAGGAAAUAAAACAAAGAAAAUCUAAAGCAUAUGCAUUUCCAGUAAUAUAGAGAGAAAUAUACUGUGAUGUUCCAUAUAUGAAUUUUCAUUUACAGGCAUGCCAUGUUGAGAACCAAAGAGAGGUUAGAGUUCAUCUGACAAAGUGUUGAGGUGCUGGUUUUAGUGUAUGAUCAUAUUCAGAAAUAUGCUAAUCAAACAUGGGUGCUCACUAAUUAAAUUUACAAAUGAUUAGAAAUAUUUGCCACUGAAAGAUUUAAAGUCAUUUUUUGAAUCCUAAUGAAAGUUCCAACAUUAUGUGUAUGCCUCUUGAGGGCCUACUGAGGAUAAAGUGUAUUAAAAAUAUAAUUGGCUUUAAAGCAUGCUAGAUUAAGUUUUUGCCGUGAUUUAUGCUGUCUGCUUUGUAUUCACCUUUAGAGUUGUUUUUCCCUCUCUGAACCAUGUAUAUUGAUAGCUCAAAUGUAAGAUGCUAACAUCUGUUGAUUUGCUUAUAUUGCAUUGAUUAUUAUAAUGGCUGAAAAGUCUAUUAUUUGCACAUGAUCUUACUCAGAUCCUUGAAGCUGUGUUUUUAGCAAAAAAUGAUGUUUUCGACAAUGGCAAUACUUUGAAAAUAUUGUAUCUAAGAAAAAGAACAAAUGUGUGUUGUUCAAGGGUCAAUGAAGAAGUUGGUAAAAAUUAUGAAAAACUGUUAAGCUUUACAUUCUGGGAUGUUUUAGUAUUUCCCCUGAAUCCCAAUCAUUUCAUUUACAUAACACAAAAAAAAUCCUCAUGGAAUCAAAUUUAAAAUGUGAUCGAUUUAUUUUUUACUUGUGUUGAAAGUGGAUCUUAACAAAGAAUCCCCCAAAACACUUGCUUAUGAAAAACACCACAGAUUUGCCAAUUUUCCAUUGAUUGUAACUAACAGCACUUUGUGGUGUAUUCCUUUGAAGACACAUAUUAUAAAAGGGUCAAAGUUCUCAAGUAUAAAGUAGUUGGCAAGCAUUAUCAAUGGCGCCCUAGGCUGACCUGGUAUAUACUUGUGUGCAGAAUACAGCAGUAAAAGUAACCAGAUAGAUCAAAAUAAACACACAGAGAUUAACUGUCUAUGAAGGGUCAAUAUGAUAUAUUAACAUCUACUGGUGGUUACUAAAAUUUUUGAAUAAAGGUGAUGGAAAGGUGUUAGAAUGUUUUUGCAACUAGAAACAAAGCAUGGCUUUCAUGGAACUGUUUACUCAGCAUUGUAUCAUGAUUUUAAAAAAAAUGUCCAUUAAAUUGUAUAGCUAAUUGAGGAAAAACCAGAUGGCUGAAGGAAGGAAGGUAGGUAUGAGUAAUCUCUCUGCCUUGGAAGCUGUAUGAUAACAGCUAGUGCAAAAUUAUGGGCUCUGUAAACUUGUAGAUUGCAAUAUUUUUGUUCUUUCCAAUUUUUUCUAUGCAGUUGGAGUGUCACUGUUAGAAUGCACACCGGGAACAACAGCACUCUUUCCCCAGACUAAGCAGGCAUGUCAGAAAACUCUCCAUCUAGGGCCUGAUUCAAAACCCACUGAAGUCAG